UGUCACGAGAGCCCAACACCUGAAGGUCUCAAACAGAUGCUAUAUCCAGAACAUUUCGUAUUUGUCAAACACAUUACAUACUGAUCGAGAAUGCUCCGCAUGACUCCGCAUAAGGACCCACAAGAUCGUCUACGAAACAAAUUCACGAUCGCUAACUUUGCGAAAGGCAUUUUAUGCGAAGCUCGUGCCCGCUCGCAUGCCUGGGCGGCACGCACCACGAUCCUAUUAAUAUCUCGCAAGAGAGCGUAAAAGGGCGCAAAUGCGAAAGACACCGAGGGGGGAAGCUGGCGACGCAGAGAUAUUUUUAAAGACAUCGAUUUUCGCGAUUUGCCCUUCUCUCAAGCCGGAUUUAAUUAGAUAAGAAACGAGGCAAAACCGUUCGUGUUCAGCCGUGAUUUGGCGGAAGAGGAACGUGGAAAAAAAUGCGCGACUGGGAAGGAAGAGCCUUUCCAUUUGUGGCGCGCAAUUAAGCGCCGCGCGCUCGCGCGACUGCGUUAUUCAUCGCCCGUUAACCGUAUAAUUAGCCAAUUGCUAAUUGCCCGAGUUCACAUGAGCCUGAGCGACGGGGGCCAGUUUGCUUGGCCCAGGCGCAUUAAUCACUCGGUCGUCUCAUAUGAUCCUCUCGACACGAAUCGAAUCAGGUCAACGUAAUGUCAGAGGAACAUCAAGUGUCUUGGUCAAAAGUAUAAUGUGCAAUUGUAACAAAAGCUUUAGCACUCGAUGUGUGCAUAAAUUAGCAAGAUUAUCUCCCACUUUUAUAGUUGUAGCAAUCCUUUCUAUAAAUAUUAUUCAUUAAGUUAAAUACAAUUUAACCCUUUGUCUUUUUCAUUUCUUUACUUCUGAUUUUACAAGGUUUUAUUGAAAAUAUAAUAAUAGACUUUAUGUUAACUAAUACCUAGAAGAUAUUGAUGCAAAAUAACUUGGAAUCUUAAAUAUUAUACUCUAGCACUCCAUUUACAACCUCUUAUGAUAAUUAAACUCUUAGUAAUUAUCCUGAAUGUAAUAAGAGAACGACUAGAUAAAAUUGAACAAAAACUUCUUAUUUUGUAUUAAUAAAUGAUAGAUACUUUUACUCUUACAACUUUCUUAAUAUAAAUAAAAUAUGAAAAAUUAUUAAA
rnacentral:lncRNA from 13 species